UUCGGGGCUCAUGGUCUCGCUGAGCUUCACAGGCAGAAAUACAGCAUCUGACUUUUGGUAACAGCUCUCACCCUGUUGUCUCCACAAGGCUGGUCAGGGUAACAUCGGUUUACAACACUGUAUGUGAUUUAGGGGUGUAAGUUCAUACCUCAGAUGUAUGUCACACCACCCUCACCACCAAAGCACCAUAGAGCACUGGGCCUCCUCCCAGCUGUUCCCAACCCCUUUCAAGACAGCCCUUCAACCACCAGCCCAGCAGCCUCAAUUCUGCACUCAUAUUUCUAAGGGUUCACUCUGAUAAAAUCCAAGAAGGCUGAGAGCAAGAGAUCCCUCCGUGGAGUCAGUAUGCAAGCAAAGAGAAGGGCAGAGCCUGGAUCUAAGGGGCAGACAGAAGAGAACCACCACCAACCCCAAAUGGGAGGGAAUUUGAACUACAUCAAAAUCUACUUGAGGAACAUUUUUUAAAAAAAUAGGUGAAUUCCCCAGAACCACCCCCAAAAUCAGAGUAAAUACAUGAG